rnacentral:rRNA from 1 species
GAUGAACGCUGACAGAAUGCUUAACACAUGCAAGUCUUUGGCGAAGCUGUGCUUGCACAGCCUAGCCAAGGCGGACGGGUGAGUAACGCGUAAGGAACUUGCCCUGCAGUCAGGGAUAACAGACGGAAACGACUGAUAAGACCUGGUAAAGUCAGGCGGACUCGUGUCCAGCCUGAUGAAAAGAGAUGCUGCAGGAGAGCCUUGCGUCCUAUUAGCUUGUUGGUGGGGUAACGGCCCACCAAGGCGAUGAUAGGUAGCCGGCCUGAGAGGGUGGACGGCCACAAGGGGACUGGGAUACGGCCCUUACUCCUACGGGAGGCAGCAGUGGGGAAUAUUGGACAAUGGGGGCAACCCUGAUCCAGCAAUUCUGUGUGCACGAUGAAGGUUUUCGGAUUGUAAAGUGCUUUCAGCAGGGAAGAAAAAAAUGACGGUACCUGCAGAAGAAGCGACGGCUAAAUACGUG